rnacentral:rRNA from 1 species
GAUUAAGUUAUUAAGGGCGCACGGUGGAUGCCUUGGCACUAGAAGCCGAUGAAGGACGUUACUAACGACGAUAUGCUUUGGGGAGCUGUAAGUAAGCUUUGAUCCAGAGAUUUCCGAAUGGGGAAACCCAGCAUGAGUUAUGUCAUGUUAUCGAUAUGUGAAUACAUAGCAUAUCAGAAGGCACACCCGGAGAACUGAAACAUCUUAGUACCCGGAGGAAGAAAAAGAAAAUUCGAUUCCCUUAGUAGCGGCGAGCGAAACGGGAAGAGCCCAAACCAACAAGCUUGCUUGUUGGGGUUGUAGGACACUCUAUACGGAGUUACAAAGGACGACAUUAGACGAAUCAUCUGGAAAGAUGAAUCAAAGAAGGUAAUAAUCCUGUAGUCGAAAAUGUUGUCUCUCUUGAGUGGAUCCUGAGUACGACGGAACACGUGAAAUUCCGUCGGAAUCUGGGAGGACCAUCUCCUAAGGCUAAAUACUCUCUAGUGACCGAUAGUGAACCAGUACCGUGAGGGAAAGGUGAAAAGCACCCCGGAAGGGGAGUGAAAUAGAACCUGAAACCGUGUGCUUACAAGUAGUCAGAGCCCGUUAAUGGGUGAUGGCGUGCCUUUUGUAGAAUGAACCGGCGAGUUACGAUUUGAUGCAAGGUUAAGCAGUAAAUGUGGAGCCGUAGCGAAAGCGAGUCUGAAUAGGGCGUUUAGUAUUUGGUCGUAGACCCGAAACCAGGUGAUCUACCCUUGGUCAGGUUGAAGUUCAGGUAACACUGAAUGGAGGACCGAACCGACUUACGUUGAAAAGUGAGCGGAUGAACUGAGGGUAGCGGAGAAAUUCCAAUCGAACCUGGAGAUAGCUGGUUCUCUCCGAAAUAGCUUUAGGGCUAGCCUCAAGUGAUGAUUAUUGGAGGUAGAGCACUGUUUGGACGAGGGGCCCCUCUCGGGUUACCGAAUUCAGACAAACUCCGAAUGCCAAUUAAUUUAACUUGGGAGUCAGAACAUGGGUGAUAAGGUCCGUGUUCGAAAGGGAAACAGCCCAGACCACCAGCUAAGGUCCCAAAAUAUAUGUUAAGUGGAAAAGGAUGUGGCGUUGCCCAGACAACUAGGAUGUUGGCUUAGAAGCAGCCAUCAUUUAAAGAGUGCGUAAUAGCUCACUAGUCGAGUGACACUGCGCCGAAAAUGUACCGGGGCUAAACAUAUUACCGAAGCUGUGGAUUGUCCUUUGGACAAUGGUAGGAGAGCGUUCUAAGGGCGUUGAAGCAUGAUCGUAAGGACAUGUGGAGCGCUUAGAAGUGAGAAUGCCGGUGUGAGUAGCGAAAGACGGGUGAGAAUCCCGUCCACCGAUUGACUAAGGUUUCCAGAGGAAGGCUCGUCCGCUCUGGGUUAGUCGGGUCCUAAGCUGAGGCCGACAGGCGUAGGCGAUGGAUAACAGGUUGAUAUUCCUGUACCACCUAUAAUCGUUUUAAUCGAUGGGGGGACGCAGUAGGAUAGGCGAAGCGUGCGAUUGGAUUGCACGUCUAAGCAGUAAGGCUGAGUAUUAGGCAAAUCCGGUACUCGUUAAGGCUGAGCUGUGAUGGGGAGAAGACAUUGAGUCUUCGAGUCGUUGAUUUCACACUGCCGAGAAAAGCCUCUAGAUAGAAAAAUAGGUGCCCGUACCGCAAACCGACACAGGUAGUCAAGAUGAGAAUUCUAAGGUGAGCGAGCGAACUCUCGUUAAGGAACUCGGCAAAAUGACCCCGUAACUUCGGGAGAAGGGGUGCUCUUUAGGGUUAACGCCCAGAAGAGCCGCAGUGAAUAGGCCCAAGCGACUGUUUAUCAAAAACACAGGUCUCUGCUAAACCGUAAGGUGAUGUAUAGGGGCUGACGCCUGCCCGGUGCUGGAAGGUUAAGAGGAGUGGUUAGCUUCUGCGAAGCUACGAAUCGAAGCCCCAGUAAACGGCGGCCGUAACUAUAACGGUCCUAAGGUAGCGAAAUUCCUUGUCGGGUAAGUUCCGACCCGCACGAAAGGCGUAACGAUUUGGGCACUGUCUCAACGAGAGACUCGGUGAAAUCAUAGUACCUGUGAAGAUGCAGGUUACCCGCGACAGGACGGAAAGACCCCGUGGAGCUUUACUGUAGCCUGAUAUUGAAAUUCGGCACAGCUUGUACAGGAUAGGUAGGAGCCUUUGAAACGUGAGCGCUAGCUUACGUGGAGGCGCUGGUGGGAUACUACCCUAGCUGUGUUGGCUUUCUAACCCGCACCACUUAUCGUGGUGGGAGACAGUGUCAGGCGGGCAGUUUGACUGGGGCGGUCGCCUCCUAAAAGGUAACGGAGGCGCUCAAAGGUUCCCUCAGAAUGGUUGGAAAUCAUUCAUAGAGUGUAAAGGCAUAAGGGAGCUUGACUGCGAGACCUACAAGUCGAGCAGGGUCGAAAGACGGACUUAGUGAUCCGGUGGUUCCGCAUGGAAGGGCCAUCGCUCAACGGAUAAAAGCUACCCCGGGGAUAACAGGCUUAUCUCCCCCAAGAGUUCACAUCGACGGGGAGGUUUGGCACCUCGAUGUCGGCUCAUCGCAUCCUGGGGCUGUAGUCGGUCCCAAGGGUUGGGCUGUUCGCCCAUUAAAGCGGUACGCGAGCUGGGUUCAGAACGUCGUGAGACAGUUCGGUCCCUAUCCGUCGUGGGCGUAGGAAAUUUGAGAGGAGCUGUCCUUAGUACGAGAGGACCGGGAUGGACAUACCUCUGGUGUACCAGUUGUCGUGCCAACGGCAUAGCUGGGUAGCUAUGUGUGGACGGGAUAAGUGCUGAAAGCAUCUAAGCAUGAAGCCCCCCUCAAGAUGAGAUUUCCCAACUUCGGUUAUAAGAUCCCUCAAAGAUGAUGAGGUUAAUAGGUUCGAGGUGGAAGCAUGGUGACAUGUGGAGCUGACGAAUACUAAUCGAUCGAAGACUUAAUCAA